ensembl:lncRNA
UUCCCAGUGUCUCUCUCCCAGUCUCUCUUACUUUCCCAGUGUCUCUCUCCCAGUCUCCCUCUCACUUCCCCAGUGUCUCUCUCUCACAGUCUCUCUUACUUUCAGUGUCUCUCUCCCAUUCUCUCUCUUUACUUUCCCAUGUCUCUCUCCCAGUCUCUCUUACUUUUCCCAGUGUCUCUCUCCCAGUGUCUCUCUCCCAGUCUUUCUCUUACUUUCCCAGUGUCUCUCUCUCCCAAUAAUUCUCUCUCCUAGUCUCUUACUUUCCAGUGUCUCCCUCUCACUUCCCCAGUGUCUCUCUCUCUCCCAGUCUCUCUUACUUUCAGUGUCUCUCUCCCCAUUCUCUCUCUUACUUUCCCAGUGUCUCUCUCCCAGUGUCUUACUUUCCCAGUCUCUCGCUCACUUCCCCAGUGUGUCUCUCUUACUUUCCCAAUGUCUCUCUCUCACUUCCCCAGUGUCUCUCUCUCCCUGUCUGUCUCUCACUCCAGUCUCUCACUUUCCCAGCAUCUCUCCCUCCCAGUAUCUCUCUCCCCGUUUCUCUCUCUCUCGCUCCCCCCGUGUCUUCCUCCGUGUGUCUUUCUUUGUGUGUCUCUCACUCCAGUCUCUUUCUUCUCCCUCAGUCUCUCUCACUUGUCCUGCAUAUUUCUCCCUCUCUUUAGAUGACUUCAAGUCGUGCUGAUUAUAAAUCCCUCGGUUCACACCUCGGGGGUUUGGACACCUGCAGCAGGAGGUGUUAUGCGCGGGCGCAUCAUCGUAUGCGAGAGGCUGCGCCGUUGGGCUCAGGUGUUCCCCGCCGUCAUCCUACAGACGCAUGACAAACCCAGACGGUGAGUAAGAACCCAGCACACGUACAGUGUAAGAAAGAGCGCGUCAGG